rnacentral:rRNA from 1 species
GACGAACGCUGGCGGCGUGCCUAAUACAUGCAAGUAGAACGCUGAAGAGAGGAGCUUGCUCUUCUUGGAUGAGUUGCGAACGGGUGAGUAACGCGUAGGUAACCUGCCUUGUAGCGGGGGAUAACUAUUGGAAACGAUAGCUAAUACCGCAUAACAAUGGAUGACACAUGUCAUUUAUUUGAAAGGGGCAAUUGCUCCACUACAAGAUGGACCUGCGUUGUAUUAACUAGUAGGUGAGGUAAUGGCUCACCUAGGCGACGAUACAUAGCCGACCUGAGAGGGUGAUCGGCCACACUGGGACUGAGACACGGCCCAGACUCCUACGGGAGGCAGCAGUAGGGAAUCUUCGGCAAUGGGGGCAACCCUGACCGAGCAACGCCGCGUGAGUGAAGAAGGUUUUCGGAUCGUAAAGCUCUGUUGUAAGUCAAGAACGGGUGUGAGAGUGGAAAGUUCACACUGUGACGGUAGCUUACCAGAAAGGGACGGCUAACUACGUG